rnacentral:rRNA from 1 species
CGCGUAGGCGGCCUGGGCAGUCCUGGGUGAAAGCCCCCGGCUCAACCGGGGAAGGGCCUGGGAAACCACUGGGCUGGAGUGCUGGAGAGGGAGGCGGAAUUCCUGGUGUAGCGGUGAGAUGCGUAGAGAUCAGGAGGAACAUCGGCGGCGAAGGCGGCCUUCUGGACAGACACUGACGCUGAGGCGCGAAAGCCGGGGGAGCAAACAG